rnacentral:tRNA from 1 species
GGGCGAUUAGCUCAGCAGGUUAGAGCGCUUGCCUCACAUGCAAGAGGUCGGGGGUUCGAAUCCCUCAUCGCCCACCA